rnacentral:rRNA from 1 species
UACACCUCAACUCGGGUAGGACUACGCCCUGAACUUAAGCAUAUCAAUAAGGGCAGGAAAAGAAACUAACAAGGAUUC